UUGACCUCGGAUCAGGUAGGGAUACCCGCUGAACUUAAGCAUAUCAAAGGCGGGAAGGAA
rnacentral:rRNA from 1 species